ACAGCGUCAGCGACCCUCGCGUCGGUUCCUCAUGACACCCGGCCGGCGCUGAGCAGCCGUGCGAGAGAGGGAGAGAGAGAAAGGAAGCGACUAGAACGCCUCCCUACAUCCGGGAUGAAAUAUGUACUGAUGUCUUUGGAUG